GCAGUAGCCGCGGUAAUACGAAGGGGGCGAGCGUUAUUCGGAAUCACUGGGCGUAAAGCGUGCGUAGGCGGUUCUAAAAGUUAGAAGUGAAAGCCCAGGGCUCAACCCUGGAAUUGCUUUUAAAACUAUAGGACUAGAAUUCGGGAGAGGAUAGCGGAAUUGUCAGUGUAGCAGUGAAAUGCGUAGAUAUUGACAGGAACACCAGUGGCGUAAGCGGCUAUCUGGACCGACAUUGACGCUGAGGCACGAAAGCGUGGGGAUCAAACAGGAUUAGAUACCCCUGUAGUCCCUGUCUCUUAUAC
rnacentral:rRNA from 1 species